rnacentral:rRNA from 1 species
GCGUCAGUCGCAAGAUGAAGCGUUGAAUUGAAGCCCGAGUAAGCGGCGGCCGUAACUAUAACGGUCCUAAGGUAGCGAAAUUCCUUGUCGGUUAAAUACCGACCUGCACGAAUGGCGUAACGAGAUGGGAGCUGUCUCAACCAGAGAUUCAGUGAGAUUGUAGUGGAGGUGAAAAUUCCUCCUACCCGCGGCAAGACGGAAAGACCCCGUGGACCUUUACUACAACUUAGCACUG